GAUGAACGCUGGCGGCGUGCCUAACACAUGCAAGUCGAACGGGAGGGCGGACGGGUGAGUAACACGUUGGCAACCUGGCUCAUAGAGGGGGAUAACAGAGAGAAAUUUCUGCUAAUACCGCAUACUAUGAGAUGGACCCGCGUCUGAUUAGCCAGUUGGCAGGGUAAGAGCCUACCAAAGCGACGAUCAGUAGCCGAUCUGAGAGGAUGAACGGCCAAACUGGGACUGAGACACGGCCCAGACUCCUACGGGAGGCAGCAGUAGGGAAUAUUGCGCAAUGGGGGAAAGCCUGACGCAGCAACGCCGCGUGGAGGAUGACAAGUUUCGGAGCGUAAACUCCUUUUGUUAGGGAAGCGGUACCUAACGAAUAAGCACCGGCUAACUCCGUGCCAGCCGCCGCGGUAAUAC
rnacentral:rRNA from 1 species